rnacentral:rRNA from 1 species
AGUGAACGCUGGCGGUAGGCCUAACACAUGCAAGUCGAACGGCAGCACAGUAAGAGCUUGCUCUUACGGGUGGCGAGUGGCGGACGGGUGAGGAAUACAUCGGAAUCUACUUUUUCGUGGGGGAUAACGUAGGGAAACUUACGCUAAUACCGCAUACGACCUACGGGUGAAAGCAGGGGAUCUUCGGACCUUGCGCGAUUGAAUGAGCCGAUGUCGGAUUAGCUAGUUGGCGGGGUAAAGGCCCACCAAGGCGACGAUCCGUAGCUGGUCUGAGAGGAUGAUCAGCCACACUGGAACUGAGCCACGGUCCAGACUCCUACGGGACGCAGCAGUGGGGAAUAUUGGACAAUGGGCGCAAGCCUGAUCCAGCCAUACCGCGUGGGUGAAGAAGGCCUUCGGGUUGUAAAGCCCUUUUGUUGGGAAAGAAAAGCAGCAGGUUAAUACCCCGCUGUUCUGACGGUACCCAAAGAAUAAGCACCGGCUAACUUCGUG